rnacentral:sRNA from 1 species
CAACGCGUCUGGAGACUGCGGAGGCUUACGUCGGACCCGAGGUCCCUCAAUGCCUCAUGCGCACCCCACAGCUCGCGCUCCUGCAAGUGUUCUUUCUUAUGUUCCCCGAUGGCGUCCGGCCUCAGCCCUCUUCCUCCCCAUCAGGGGCAGUGCCCACGUCUUUGGAGCUGCAGCGAGGGACGGAUGGCGGAACCCUCCAGUCCCCUUCAGAGGCAACUGCAACUCGCCCGGCCGUGCCUGGAAUCUCUACAGUGGUCCCUACUCUCGUGACUCCCUCGGCGCCUGGGAAUAGGACUGUGGACCUCUUCCCAGGUGAGGGAAAACGUUGUGGGGGUGGAAACUUACUUCUGAGAUCUAAAAUUCUGUGAGCAAAGUUGAGCUGCCACAAAGCGGGAGUGGGGCUGUUGGAAGAAGGAGGAUGAGCACCUGGGAGAGUUUGGGGAUCUUCAUCCCACUCACUCUGUGUUGUACUUUCAUAGUCUUACCGAUCUGUGUCUGUGACUUGACUCCUGGAGCCUGCGAUAUAAAUUGCUGCUGCGACAGGGACUGCUAUCUUCUCCAUCCGAGGACAGUUUUCUCCUUCUGCCUUCCUGGCAGCGUAAGGUCUUCAAGCUGGGUUUGUGUAGACAACUCUCUUAUCUUCAGGAGUAAUUCCCCAUUUCCUUCAAGAGUUUUCAUGGAUUCUAAUGGAAUCAGGCAGUUUUGUGUCCAUGUGAACAACUGUUUCCUAGAGAGUAAAAGUACAACUUGCACUCGUUUCUUCAAGAACCUGGCUAGUAGCUGUACCUUGGAUUCAGCCC